rnacentral:rRNA from 1 species
AUGAACGCUAGCGACAGGCCUAACACAUGCAAGUCGAGGGGCAGCACAAGGAGCAAUCUGAGGUGGCGACCGGCGCACGGGUGAGUAACACGUAUGCAACCUGCCUGUAAGCGGGGAAUAACCCGUUGAAAGACGGACUAAUACCGCAUAAUACUAAAUUACUGCAUGGUAAUUUAUUUAAACAUUUAUGGCUUACAGAUGGGCAUGCGCAUGAUUAGCUAGUUGGAGAGGUAACGGCUCCCCAAGGCAACGAUCAUUAGGGGUUCUGAGAGGAAGGUCCCCCACACUGGUACUGAGACACGGACCAGACUCCUACGGGAGGCAGCAGUGAGGAAUAUUGGUCAAUGGACGAGAGUCUGAACCAGCCAAGUCGCGUGCAGGAAGAAUGUCCUAUGGAUUGUAAACUGCUUUUGCAGGGGAAUAAAGUGCAUCACGUGUGAUGUUCUGUAUGUACUCUGCGAAUAAGGAUCGGCUAACUCCGUGCCAGCAGCUGC